GACGAACGCUGGCGGCGUGCUUAACACAUGCAAGUCGAACGGAAAGGCCCUGCUUUUGUGGGGUGCUCGAGUGGCGAACGGGUGAGUAACACGUGAGUAACCUGCCCUUGACUUUGUGAUAACUUCAGGAAACUGGGUCUAAUACCGGAUAGGAGCUCCUGCUGCAUGGUGGUGGUUGGAAAGUUUCGGCGGUUGUGGAUAGACUCGCGGCUUAUCAGCUUGUUGGUGGGGUAGUGGCUUACCAAGGCUUUGACGGGUAGCCGGCCUGAGAGGGUGACCGGCCACAUUGGGACUGAGAUACGCACCAGACUCCAACGGGCGGCAGCAGUGGGGAACAUUGCACAAUGGGCGGAAGCGUGAUGCAGCAAUGCCGCGUGCGGGAUGACGGCCUACGAGUUGUAAACCGCUUUGGAAUGUGACGAAGCGUGAGUGACGGUAAUGGGUCAAGAAGCACCGGCUAACUACGUG
rnacentral:rRNA from 1 species